GACGAACGCUGGCGGCGUGCUUAACACAUGCAAGUCGAACGGAAAGGCCCUGCUUUUGUGGGGUGCUCGAGUGGCGAACGGGUGAGUAACACGUGAGUAACCUGCCCUUGACUUUGGGAUAACUUCAGGAAACUGGGGCUCAUACCGGAUAGGAUCUCCUGCUGCAUGGGGGGGGUUGGAAAGUUUCGGCGGUUGGGGAUGGACUCGCGGCUUAUCAGCUUGUUGGUGGGGUAGUGGCUUACCAAGGCUUUGACGGGUAGCCGGCCUGAGAGGGUGACCGGCCACAUUGGGACUGCGAUACGGCCCAGACUCCUACGGGAGGCAGCAGUGGGGAAUAUUGCAGAAUGGGCGGAAGCCUGAUGCAGCAGCGCCGCGUGCGUGAUGACGGCCUUCGGGUUGUAAACCGCUUUCGCCUGUGCCGAAGCGUGAGUGACGGUAAUGGGUAAAGAAGCACCGGCUAACUACGUG
rnacentral:rRNA from 1 species